CCUGGGGUUCUGUGGGGGCUACGGAAAGUGGAGAGGAAGCAGGUUUCCUCCUUGGUGGGAACUGUGUGGAGAGGUCACGCAAUUGGAAAGACUAAUUUUGUAUGUUACUGUCCACUCUUGGAAUGGACAUAAGCACUUCUAUAGACCUGACUGAUGCUCUGUGGGAGAUGGGAGCCAAACCAGGUUACAUAUUUUGCGUCUGACUAUAAGAGUUUACAGUUUACUUACAACUUAUGCACUCCCAAUAUACGGCUUUUGGCCUGAGGACACCAUCUGCAACAUAACACCUUUAAAAGAACUCUCCCACAGACUUUCCCAUAUUCCAUGUAAUGGAAAAUCACAACGCCACACCAUUUACAAGGCAUUGAAAACCAAGGAGUGGCCCAAGAUGUCAGCUCCAAGAAACUACAGUAAAUAUCUUGGGAUUAGAAGGAAUGAUUAAACAACUAGCAUUCCAGCAAGAAGCAUCUGUCUUUUGUCAUUCUCCCCAAAGCAACAUAAAAUGUGCAGAGGAAGGCAGCCAUUUCAGUGGGGGCGAAGGAGGUCGGCUGUUUGUAACAUUUUCCACCAUUCCCUUACAGCUAAAACCCAAAUCCCAUUACUUUCCAACUGCCUAUCAAAGGAGGGUGUUUGCUGAUGCAGCCCAAGGAGGCCUACUCGCUAUCCAUGGUAACCCAUGGCAGCCCCUGCGUCCUGGAGGAAGAUUAAAUGGCAGAGCCUAGGGAGGAGCUGGAUGUGAAACCAUGUCCUGAUGCCAAACUCGCUCGGGAUGGUAAAACAGACUUAAAACUUGCAAACUGCAGCUGUUCUUGGGCAGAGGCUCUGGCCAGCGGAAACCAGCAGACACACUGGCAGUGUACACGCACCCUGGAGGUCUGCAGAACAAUCUGUCUUCAGGCUGUCAUCAAGCUGGGGGCCAGGCUAUCUCUGUUGGUCCAAUCACCCCAAAUCUUUACCCAACUUCUCCUAGUUGAUAGUGUUCCUUUCUUUAAUGGCUACUUUUCAAGGCGAGUAGGAAGUGCUGAAUUUGUCACUGUAUUUCUUAUUUACAUAUAAAAGAUUAGAAUAGUUCCACCCUACCUCUGCAAUCUGGCCUUCCACUGUAUCUAUUCUUCUUUCCUACCCACAUGCCCACUCUCCAGCUUUCCCAGAAAUUUCUCUCCAGCCCUUCCUGGCUGCAUUUUCUGUCUGGUUUGUGCUGUUCCUCCUGUGACGAAGACCUUUACUUCCACCCCUGCCUUUCAAAAGGCUGCCCUCUCUCCAGUGCUGCUGCGUCUAUGAAACCUUUCCAGGCGCCUCAUUCUGGGCCUGGCACUGCUCCCCCAUAGUACAUCUUUUUGUAGUAGUUUCUGGAUUAUUAAGACCCGUGGCUUUAUAGGGUUGUGUACAAGUGUCCCCAACACUAAAUUGUGAAGUCCAUGAGGGCAGAUGUCAGGUCUCAAUUAUUUUUAUAUCUUCCAAACACGUAGCAUGUGCUCAAUAAAUGUAUGC
rnacentral:lncRNA from 1 species